GAUGAACGCUGGCGGCGUGCCUAAUACAUGCAAGUCGAGCGAACGGACGAGAAGCUGGCUUCUCUGAUGUUAGCGGCGGACGGGUGAGUAACACGUGGAUAACCUACCUAUAAGACUGGGAUAACUUCGGGAAACCGGAGCUAAGACCGGAUAAUAUUUUGAACCGCAUGGUUCAAAAGUGAAAGACGGUCUUGCUGUCACUUAUAGAUGGAUCCGCGCUGCAUUAGCUAGUUGGUAAGGUAACGGCUUACCAAGGCAACGAUGCAUAGCCGACCUGAGAGCGUGAUCGGCCACCCUGGAACUGAGACACGGUCCCGACUCCUACGGGAGGCAGCAGUAGGGACUCUUCCGCAAUGGGCGAAAGCCUGACGGAGCACCGCCGCGUGAGUGAUGAAGGUCUUCGGCUCGUAAAACUCUGUUAUUAGGGAAGAACAUAUGUGUAAGUACCUGUGCACAUCUUGACGGUACCUAAUCAGAAAGCCACGGCUAACUCCGUG
rnacentral:rRNA from 1 species